GACGUAGGGGGCGAGCGUUAUCCGGAUUCACUGGGCGUAAAGGGCGCGCAGGCGGCUACGUAAGUCCGGCGUGAAAUCCCACGGCUCAACUGUGGAACUGCGUCGGAUACUGCGUUGGCUUGAGGAUGGUAGAGGCCUUUAGAACUAGCGGUGUAGCGGUGAAAUGCGCAGAUAUCGCUAGGAAUGCCGGUGGCGAAGGCGGAAGGCUGGGCCAUUCCUGACGCUGAGGCGCGAAAGCUAGGGGAGCGAACCGG
rnacentral:rRNA from 1 species